CCUGCCGAAUAUAAAGGUACACGCUUACUUCGCUCCCGUCACGCCGCCCGUCGCCGGCGCCGCGCGCCCGCGGUACUGCCGCUGCUGCAAUAUUAUAUGAGCCGCGGGUCCAUCGCAAAUCACAGUGUGUUGAUCGGCGAGCGCCGUCGGAUUGCAUCACCGGCCAUUUGUGGCCGCAAGAUAUUGAUAAACCCUGUCGUGUUGCAGUGAUAUAAAAGUGAAAUGAAGUGACAAAGUGUUGAGAGCUUAGUGACUGUGCGCUUUAUAAGAGCUAUUUAAGUUGCUGCUAUAGAACUGUGGAUUAUUUUGCGUAAAGACGAUUUUUUCCCAGUUAAAAAAAGGAAUAUGCAAAUGAAACGAAAUGUUUUUCCGUUAGUGUCGAGUAGUAUUUCAACGAAAUAAAAUUCAAAAUUGAAAUAACUUAUAAAAUUAUAAGUUUUGAACGAAAUUGUGGUUAAUGAUUUUAGAAUAGUUUUUAAACGUAUUACAAACUACAAUUAAAAUUGGAUUUCGUUCAAAAUCAGGUUUAACGUAUAGUAUGGAAUGGGAUCAUAGUAUGUUGGCAACGUACCUAUUGGAAAAAUAUAACGUCCAUCCAUACAUGAAAAAGUCAAGUUCUUUAAAAUUGUGCAACACUUUUAAAGCGUAAAAAAAGCAUUUUUAAAAUAGUCAUUAUUUUAAGUUAACGCGUUUAGGGUUUAUCGAUGUGGUGGGAACAUUGGGAACAUACGAAUUUUCGAACGACAGGGCUUCUGUGUUGCCCUCUUUAGGGUAGCCAUAUUGGUUACGUUUAUGUCAAUAUUUGACAGUGAUUUGGCCAAAAAUUUGGUGAUUGGUCUAAUAAAUCAAUGUUUUAAAACCACAUGCAACUAAUUUACGUAGCUAUGACGUAAGUGUCUUAAAAUUAAGAAGGGAUAGGCAAUUUUGCUAUUACAAACUAAUGUUUGCAGUUGGCCAGUAUGGGAGGACGUGUCUUCCAACUACAAAGUUAUGUUUGUUUUUGAAUUUGGCUAAACCAAUGUUCAUUUGGUUUCAAAAACUGAUAUUUUAGGUAAAUAAUGGAAGAAAAAGAGUACGAAUCCCUCAGUAUGCAAGUCCGAAUAACUUUUGACCGGGUAAAGUUGUCUGUGGUUUAAACAAAUGACCAAUGGCCAUAUUGGCUGAGUCUUUGUCUAUGCCUAUAAUAGAUGUAGUUGACAACCAUAUGGUCACCUUUCAAGUAAAUGUGGUAGACAUUUGAGUGGGCGACUUUUUCUUCUUCCAACGUUUAUGGUUGAAUCUAUAGAAAUAUUGUGGGAGGCUACUGUGAUAUUGGGCUACCAUCACAUAAAAAUUAUGGAGGUAUGUACAGGGAUGUUGUAUUGUAGAACUUAAGGGGGUAGUUGUAAAUAUAAAAUUAUGAGGGUACUUUGACAAAAUGUAUUUCGUUGAUGCUUGGAGAAAGAGAAGUAAAAUUAACUAAAAUAUAAAAAGGCUACUUGUCAAACAAAAAAUGCAUUUAAUGUACUUUAGUAAGAAAGUGAAACGAAGAAAACUG